CCUCUUUCCUAGAUGAAGGCAAAUCGGGACCCUCUUCCCAUCCACCACUUGAAGUGCUGAAUCCCCCCAGUUAAACACCACCGUUUUGAACAACGAAGAUGAAUGCGAUAAAGAAAAAAAUCCAAGGGGUUCAUACACAACCCUGGACAUCAAACAGCGCUUUUAUUUGAGGCAUUUUUGGUGUCUUGCAGAAGAUAGUCCCUUCCAGCUGGGCAAGUAACACCAGGAUCUUUCUUCUUCAUAUAGGCAGCUUCUAGAAUAAGCUGGCCAGGUGCAUGCCUUGUCUGAUACCAACAGUGGACAGUUCAAGUCAACACGGCUGGGAAAGGCACCUGAGAAAAUGGAACUGCACCAUAUGUCUUUUGACAUUGCUUUUAGAGGAGUUAAAGAAGCACAGCAGCAGUAUGAGAUGUCAAGAAUAGGUCAAAAAAGGUUGACAAGCCAUUGUAACGUGGUGUAAUCCUUCUGGAGAACAGCAGUCUUCUGACAGUGCAAUACAGGAGUUAUUACUGUUUCAAGCACAGAUCUAUCCCAUUUGAGGCAAAUAUGAGUAUUAUCGUGCCACUUGUGACUCACUCUGUGCUUCAGCAUUUUGUAUUUUAUUCUUGGCUUGUUCAUGCUAUUUAUUUACAUUUAUCAUUAUAUAUGUGUCCUUUUUGCUAUAUUUAUUAUUUUCUUUGAGAUUUUCAGAUCAUAAAAGAGUUCUUGAUGCAAUCAUAUUAAUUUUUGAUAGGCUUUUAAUCUUUCCUCCAUUUUAGGAUAAUUUGCUGUUGUGUCUUUGUCUCUUGCAUCCCUUUCUUCCUUAUCACUUGCAUUUCCCUGAGCUAUUUGAAGUCCAUUACCCUUAUUUUGUUAUUUGAAAUUUAAGGGAAGAAUGGAAGACUUAUCAAUUUUAUGAUCGUUUUCUCUUGAAUUAACUCCCACUGUAAGAUUCUCAACCCCUUCCUCUUAAAGAAUUUGAGUUUAAAAUAGCUGCUUUCUGUCUAAUGUCCUCCACUUUAUAAAAGAAAAAAGCAGCUCCUAGCAUGUUUGAAGAAUUGAAUAGACAAUCUAUGUUCUGCCUUACUGCUUUUUUUAAGCAGAACCUCAAGUACUUGUAUUCCCAUCUAACCACAAGGUCUUCUCAUGUGGGUCUUUCCAGUUUGUGUCCCUUGGAUGCCUCCAAUAGUUGUUAUAUUGAAAAAAACUCCUGACCAAGAAACUCUGGUUUAAACUUGUCGUUAUGUGCACUUUUAUUUAUUCUCCCCCAUAUUUCAAUUGGUAUGCAAGAAAUCUUCCUGUCACCUUUUCCUAGACUUCAGGAGAAGUCAAUAUGCCCUUCACAAGCCAUCACCUGACUGCUCCUAGGUCUCCUCCUCUAGAACAGGCUAUGCCCUCCUGUAACUACAUUCCAGUAUGACUGUUUACCCAGCCACACCUUUGCAAUGCUGGUUAGGUCACACUAGGGUAUUAACACCAUUAGCUCUAGCACUUACAUCUCAGACAGCAGUGUUUGUGGAUCUGUAUUUCAGAUGUUUGAUGGCUCACUUCACAUUUCUUCUUGCAAUUUGUUUCCUCCUCUCCUCUCUCUCCUCCCUGUGUAGUCUUUGACCAUAUAUUUUCUGAACCUAUAACCUGAAAAGUGGGGGAGGUAAAGCCUGCAGAAUUUUUUCACUGGCACCUUUUAAAACUACUUCAAAUCCUGGCGGUGAAGAGCAACUUGCCAGACAGGUAAGAGUGUUUUCCUCAGCAGUAACUCUUACGGAGCUACCCUGCAGGCCCAUCUUCACAUGCCUGUGGAGCUGGAUCUCCCCUGGCAUGGCCUGGUCCUUUAUCCCCACCUUAGGGCACAGGUAAGGUCAGCAUCUCAACUUGUAGCUUCUUCAGCCUCACUCAUACCACCUCUGCAGUACCACCAGUGCCCAAGCACACAAACAGCAGAUGCCACAUGGGAAGAUGUUUUGCUCUUUUGUGCAGGAUGCAUGUCUAGGUAUGUGUAAAACUUGUUAUUUCAGGGAAACAAGGUAAUUCUUACAAGAAUUGCUCCUAUCGUUCAAUCUGCAGAUAUGGAAAUUAGUGUCUUAAGCUAAUUAAAUAACUGCUUGUGUGUCUGUCAAAAUAUUGUAUUUAUGGAUGAGAAUUACUUCUUCAAAUUACUGAAAAUAAUUUCAUUGAAUUAAUACAAUAUGCCAGUUAGAUUCCUGGCAUAUGAUAUCUGUUUCCACAUUUCCACAUUUAAUCUACUUAAUUCUUUUUUGACAUCUGUAUAGUAGACAAGGCAGGGAUCAAUGCAUGCAGAGCCCCUCAUUUUUGCUAAUUUUAUGCAAAUCAAAGGGUAAAACCCAGCAUAUUUUUUUUCCAUGAUUGCAUUACUCCUAGCACAAUUACUGUUUCAUUAUCCUUGUGUAGCCUAUUUGAUGGACUUGUUUUUUCCAUUCUUGCAAGUAUCACUUCCCAAAGUUUCAUACUACAACUGCUCAAGCAUUAACUGAGAAAAGAAACAAGUAAUAUUUAAAAAUAGAUAAAAAUGAAUGAACAGGCUCCAAAAGUAGUAACUGGAAAGGAAAAUACAGUUUUAGGAAAAGCAAAUCAUUUUAUUGCAGUGUUCAAACAAAAUAUUGAGAGAUUAAGUACUGGAAAGGAAUAGCCAUUAUUAAAAGAUUUUUAAAAGAAGAUAAGAAAUCAAUAUGAAAUAUUAAAAUAGAAUCACUACAACCAGGCAAUAUCACUCCAAACGAGCUGAACUGUAAUAUAAAGAUGGAAAUGGUAUGAAUCAAAACACCUAUCAUACUGUUGAAUUAACAGUAACCCAACAUUUUACUUUUGUUGUGUUUUGUUGUUCUUUUCUAGGCAAGAAAUUUGUCAGCCUGAAAAUAUGGACUGAGAAGUCAUGCUUUAGUAGCCUUUGAAGAAAUUAGUCUAGGACUUAAAAAGCUGUUGGGUGAAGUAUAAAGUGAUGAGAAAAAAAUCAGUAAGCCACUAAUAAUAAAUGCAGUCUUCUUAAGUCUUGCAGAGAAAAAAUACUGCUUAAGAGAAAAUAAAAAUAGAUGGUUUAUUUUGAUUUUUCAGUUUCUUUUAGUGAGGCUUUUUUUGACAUCAUUCAGCCUUAGCCAGAAAAAUUUGGAAAUCUCUCCAAAAUUCUUAAAGAGGGGUGUAAAUCCCAGUAAGACCAAUGAAAUUUCAUUAUUAAAAAACAAAUUUUUUCAGCAUUUUGCUAGGACUUAUGAAUAAAAAAGAACAAAUACAGAAAUAAAAGCAGCAGUGCUAUGAAUCCCAAGGAUAAUUUCCUGAUUUAGAAAAGAAUGAGAGAAAAUAACUCAAAGUAAAUUCUUUCUCAUCUAGAAAAAGUCUAAUAGUCGUGUCCCUUUGGGAUCAUUACGGGUAUUGGAUAAACUCAGUAUACCUACUAAUGAUGUGUAAGAAAGGUUGAACUGUGAGAUGGAGCCUUGCUGACAAAGAAAAAAUGCCCUAGCUUAGUCAAGAUUAAGCAGGAUUGUGAAAAACUCCAGAAGGAAUAGCAGUGAAAAUGAAGUGCAGCAGACUGGAUGCGGAAAAAGACUUAGCAGAAGGGACAUUCUCAGUGGAAAAUGUCAGUAUUUUCCAGAUAAUUUGUAGUAUAUUGCAGGAUGCAGCAAGGUUUCAGCAUGAUUUACAACUACACAUAUAUUCAGUAGAAAGACAUCUGAAAAAUCAAAGGAUCAUACUAAGAGUGAAGAUCAAUGUCAGCAGGCUCAUUCAGCCCUGGAUGGAAAGGCUCUCAGGUGUAGCUUGGCUAUUUAAUUUUGAGCAUGUGUACAGAAAGUAUAUAAAAAAAACCCCAUAAUAUUAUUUGAUUUCUUGGUUCACUAGAUUUUUAUUUGAAAGCAGACAGGUGUUUCAAGUAACAACAAUGUCAUUGUCAGUGCUGAUAGAACUUGGUUUUUUCUGGUGUCUCUGUUUUUCUGAAGUCUCUUUCAUCUUUCAAUGGAUCUGAAGCCAACUUGUAAUUUACUGUUAUUCUUCAUGCAAAGUCCACAAGUUUAAAAUAAGUGUGUAACAUUGCAAUUCCUUUUUUUCCUGAUGGAAAAAUUCUGCAAAGGAGCAAACAUUUCAGCAAAAGUCUGUUUUUUUGUACAGUAGGUUUUACACCUCAGCUCAUGUACAUGCACAAAAGAUACAGAACUGACUCUAAAUAUUUUUUCUUUAUAUAUUGGGUCUUGAUAAAAAACCAUAAACUUUAAUUUUCCCCUCCUUUGUUUUAUAGUUCUUUCUGAGCUUUUUAGGCUUCCUACAGCAUUUACAGUCUUUGUUGUACAGCAGUUUGCUCACCACUACUUAUUGGAGAUGAUGGAAACAAAUGUGACCUACUGCUGUAGCAAAAUACUUGCAUGGGUGUUAAGAAAGGUAAGAUUUUCUACCAAGGUGUCAUCUUAGAAGGGUGCCAGUGAAUUUUCUGUAAACUUUAUAUCUUCCUAAAAAAAAAAUUAAAUAAAAAAAUAAAGUAAUAAAAAAAAGACUAGGCAAGGGAUAGCUUAUAUUUUAAUCUUGCAAAAUUGAUGCAUCCCAAAAGUUGACUUACCUGACAAGACAAACAUGAACAGAAGAUGGUAACAUACAUUAUUCUGUUAGCACUAGAAUCUGCUGAGAAGGGAUAAAUCUGUUUUACCUCAUGAAUAGACUGAUGAUUAUCAUAAUGUCAGAAAGAGUUAUAUGGAAUGGCUGGAGUGAGUUGGUGUCGCUCAAUGAAAAAUUAGCAUGGGAUUUAGGAGAAAAAGCCUUAUGUUGUCCUCCAUCUGAAGUGCUGUCUGCACAUUUGGAAAGAAAAGGGAAAGCCUAGACUCAGGUUAUCCUUGUAAGGUUGAGUAAGCAGCCUGGACACUGCACACCAUAAAGCCUGGACACUGCUCUGAUGUAUUGAGCUAGAACAGCUCUUGAACCUGUAUCAAACCACUCUGCAGCUAUUACCUCCACUACAGCAUUCUACAUGUGAGCUGUACCAACAUGUCAUAAGGCCAAGUCAGAUCUAUUUAUCCCUUCCCGAAAGCAGCACAGAGCUUGGCCCCUUUUACUUAAUGAGUCUAAUAAUAUCUGUCCCAAGGAGAAGGGAAAGGGCAUAGAAAACAUUUGUUUUUCUUAAUAUCCUUGCAAAGAGGUCAACCACAGAGGUAACCUUCUUUCACCUUCUUCUUUUCAGCCAGUUAUAUUGAUCUUUUUGACAUCACUGCAAAAAUAUAUCUGUACUGGAUAUGGCAAAUAGGACUAAGCAUCUUUAAGCAAAGAUGUCUGCAGCAAGGCUUGAGUGAUACCAGCCUGUAAGAGAGGGCCAGGAAAGCAGGGAGGGGUGUGUAGAGGGGAGGGUGGAUAUGCAAAAGAGGAUGGAUAAGGAAAAGCGGAUGGAUUCUGCUGUAUUCUUGUCCUCAGGGUUUUGCAGAAAUUCUGAACAACUGAAGAAGUCUGUGUUUGAGGGCUGUUUUUCCCUUUAUCCCCUCCACCCAGCUUCACAACAGCAACCAUAUAGAUCUUUAAAUAUACUUUAAGCUGCUUUGAUGAAUGAACACAAAUGUAUCGGUAUUUUUUGCCUUGUACAUCAAUGCUUUGGUUUUGAUACUAACAGCUAAGAAGCCUUUAUAAUUUAUACUUGUUCUUUUUAUUUUGCUUUCCUGCCAUGAUGGAUAUAUGCUUGGAAGGUUUUGUUCACAUAAUCUUCUCUAUCAUUACACUAGUCUGUAAUCUCAUUAUCUGUUUUUAUUCAGUAAAUUAAAACUUUUGAUAAGUUAUUCAAAUGCUUUUAAGUUGUAAAUUUUACCCAAGACGUUUUAGUACAUUAGUCCUUUUACAAGUGUAAAUGAUUCUUCUGUGAAGAUCCAGAAGGAUGAAAGGUGUAAAAUGUUACACUUACAAGAAAAGUGGAACUUACAGAUAUGCAUGUAACGAUGAAAGGAUUGACAGAUCUGACUUCUCUCAGCCAGAUCUGUUAACUUCAUCUGACACCAAAAAAUCCCAUCAAACCAGCACAGAAGAGAACCAAUAUUGACAUUUGCACAUAAUUCAUUCCUAAGGUUAUGAAAUGCCUACUGCAUUGAUGUGAUGUACAGCACCCAAAAGGUUUGUAUUCCUUCAGUUUUGAAGUGUUACUUUUUAGCGAGGACACAGCUGUCCAAAAUUUUCUCCACCCUGUCCUAAAUCUAGAAACCUUUACUGUUGUGUUUAGGAUUAGUUAUGAUUGUUUAUGCAAUAAAAUGACUGUCACACUGUUCUCUGCACCUCUUAUAACAAUCCUAGUCCUUUUCUGAUGCUUUGAUUAUGUUUUGCCUCCAGCUUUACCUAAAAAGCUCUUUAAGUUUACGCAAUGUAAGUUUCUGUUUCUCUUGUGCUUUGUUUUUGCUUGGUUUUCCUCUUUUUGAUUUUUUUUUUGUUGUUUGGGUUUUUUGGUGUUUUUAUUUUCCCUUUUCAUUCAUUACUGAAGAAGAAAUUUGGCAUUUAAUGGAGAAAUGCACACUGAUAAUUGUGUGAUCUCUUGCCUGGUAAAGGAUUGUUGAGAGCCUAGAUUUUCUGGGAAUGUUAAUUAAAAAAAAUAAUUGGCUGGCUUCUGUAGAUUUGAAGCAAAAUCCUCCUUCAGUCUGAGAAAAACAUGGUGCUGGCUUUAGAACUUUUUGGUUGGUGUAAAGGAGUUGAGAAAGUGGAGGAGGAAUGUAUAUCUCUGCCAUGGUAAGCAAAACUAUUGCUUAAAGUGUUUCUGGAUUAAA